GCUGCAAUGGAACAGUUUUAUAAAGAGAAGCUCCAAGAAGAAAGAUCUGCACAUAAAGAAACUGAAGAAGAAUUGAAAUCAUUCAAAGACAGAGUGGCAGGAGAGGUUGACAUUGCACUACAGGCCGGGAACUCUGAAAACAUGAACAACCCAGUGAAUGAAACCAG